AUCAACCGAGAUUCCCCCAGUAGCGGCGAGCGAACGGGGAGCAGCCCAGAGUCAACAUCAAUAUUUACCGCAGGAGAAGGGUCUGGAAAGGCCAGCAAUAAAGGGUGAUAGCCCCGUAUCUGAAACGGUAAGUGUUGUGAACUCGAAGAGUAGGGCGGGACACGUGUUAUCCUGUCUGAAUAUGGGGGGACCAUCCUCCAAGGCUAAAUACUCCUGACUGACCGAUAGUGAAUCAGUACCGUGAGGGAAAGGCGAAAAGAACCCCGGCGAGGGGAGUGAAAUAGAACCUAAAACCGUGUACGUACAAGCAGUGGGAGCACCCGAAAGGGUGUGACUGCGUACCUUUUGUAUAAUGGGUCAGCGACUUAUAUUCUGUAGCAAGGUUAACCGCAUAGGGGAGCCGUAGGGAAACCGAGUCUUAACUGGGCGUUAAGUUGCAGGGUAUAGACCCGAAACCCGGUGAUCUAGCCAUGGGCAGGUUGAAGGUUGGGUAAC
rnacentral:rRNA from 1 species